GUGAUUGCCCUCGGGCGUUAAACUAUAUCCAUAACACCUGUGAACCGUUUGAUUGACCUUAACGGGUUGAUUUUACAAACAUUGUGUAAUGAACGUAAUUUUAUUAUAACAAAUA
rnacentral:misc_RNA from 1 species